GUGCUCACUUGAACAUCACAUAAAUUAAAGUUGAAAUUAGAGAAGAUGGGCAUCACUUCUGCACAAGGAUGACUUACAAAGUCAUGAAGCAUUCCAUAUACUU